UGUGAUCAUGCACAGUUGCGCGCAAUCGACUAGUAUCAACUACUAUAUUGAGUAACUGCUAUAUUGAGAGCAUGAGCUCACGUUUUUCUACUCCAUAUUAAGCGGAAUUACAUAUUUGGUGCUUGCCUAACAGGCAGAGAGACGUCGUUUUAUCUGAUGGUACCGAUUAUGUUUAACCCGCGGCAGUCUGACGUCGAACACCGUUCCGCGCGCAACACGUUCUAAUCAUCGACCACAGCAGAAAUACAGGUCUUCUCGAAACGACCUCGACAAAAGUCUCGCGGGGAAAUUACAUCAGCAAGCAUAAAUUCCUUCAUGCGAGACAGAAAAUUACUGGAUGGAUAUCUUCUCGAUAUCAAGGGUACUGGAAUACUGAAACUGUUUGAUAUGCUAUGAAGUGCAUACAGUGUAUGUGUGUGUCUCUUGCGCCCCGAGCGAUCUAUUUAUGAGAGCAUUAAUUGAGAUCAUUGCUAUAAAGUGCAUCCUAAGUCUAACAAACGGCCAAGGUCACUUGUGCCUUACUAGUACUGCUACAUAUUACGUUUAGCGUUUCGCAAUGAAUCUACGAGACUUUUAUUCGCAUUUACAUUCUAAAAGCGAUGAAGAAUAUGAAUGUACGUGGUGUACGUUGUACAUACAUACCUUAAGUCUAAUUGUA